UGUAACGCCGUGAAGGAGAUGUUGUCUGAUGAGGAUGUUGAAGGCUGCACUCCUCUGCACUACGCCUGCAAACUUGGCAUCCACGAUUCGGUCAAAAAUAUGCUGGGUCUCAAUAUCUUUGUGGGUCAAAAGUCACGGGAGAAGAAAUCAGCUCUUCACUUCGCUGCAGAGUGAGAACGUUUGUAAUACAGUCACAGGCACACAGCUAUAUGAAAAUCAGAUCUUUGUGCUUAUUUUCUUAUAUAUANACUUGGGAGAACAAAACAGAGAAAGAAGCAGGAAUCAAUUCCUGCAAAUCCCUUAAGGACUGCUGCAAAUCUCUGGUGGAUCGUCGUAGGAAACGUCAAGCUGCUCGUUUGGCUCGCGUGCAGGACUACUUCGCUCAGAAAGCAAUGGAAACCCAGUUGGGAUGUAAUUCCUACACAGAUGAAAGUACCACAUCCAUCCCAAAGCUGUCUAUACCAAGUAGAACUGACUUGCCAGUUGUCCACAGCCAACAAGGAUGCAAUAUGGACACACCACCAAUACUAAUGUACCACCAGAUCCCUUUGCUUUCCCUGGAUUGGGGCAGUACCACAACAACACCCCCCCAAGCAAACCCUCCAGAUGCCUGCAGUAAAACAAGACAUCAGGUUGAAGACCACCUAGCCAUAUCUGCUUCUGAGGCCUGGGAAACCUUUCUUAACAGCACUGAUAUGCAGCACCAAGUAUGUGUUCCUCCAGAGUCAGAAGUUUUAGUCCCAAUGGAGGACAAGGGAACUGAGAAAGACCACAGUCAAGAGUCUCCUGACAGGAAAGCAAUGGAAACUGUAAAAUCUGUUCCAGUAAAGCAAUCAAAGGAUCUCAGCACAAGUCCUUCUAGAGAUCAGGUUGUGGAUUACCAACCAGUGAAAGAGCCAAGGGUCACUACCUUACCAUGUUCUGCCCAGGGAUCGGAGCCAGAGGGGGCGGGAAGUGAGUCAGAGGCAUCUCGUGACCACCAAGGCCCACAUCAAGAGCACACAAGCGGAUCUUUGAGUCAAGACACGACCAAAGCAAACCCUAGGGAUGAAACUCAAACCACAUAUGACACCAAGACUCAGAAUUCAGAAGCCGGAGAUGGAAUCUCACCUGAAGAAUGCACAGGCAGCUCCGACACCUCAAAGGUUAAAGAAAACACACAAAGAGCGGUCAAAGGCACCCUGACAUUUACGGGGAUCAUGGACGUGCCACUCGCAAAUAGACAGGCCGAGGGAUCUUCUUCAGAAAGGAAGGAUAUAAAUAAAGAUGCUAGCGAGGAGCAGGUGGAAAUGAGGGCGUUCUGUAGAGAACUACAUGAAGAGGACACGGAAAGCAGUAGAAAAGGACAAGAUGAGACAACUACGGAUCACAGCGUAGAAAUACAAGGCAAGGCUUUUAAUGAGAACGAAUUAUGCACGUCGAGCAGGAGUUUUAACAAAGACAAUUCAGAGCUAUUGAAAAACAAAGAGAGGCGUUGUGAGGCAAACGAUGGACUUAAAAUGAAGAAACGACUGAAUGAGACGACUAUAGAAGCUGCUAGUUUUGAAGAGAAUGAAAUGCAUUCAGAAGAGCUUAUAGAGGACUCACGAGCAGUGGGUGACAGUUGCACAGAUGGAGAAAAGAAAGAGUUUGAGAUUCAUGCUACCAAAUUUGCACCCUCCCACAUACCUACCUAUCCAACAGUUAGCACUGACCCAUCCAGGCACCUCCUUCGGACAGCAUCUGCAAAGGAAACUUCUGCAGAGGAGGACUUUGAGCUUGGAAAGAUUCUGAGGAAGUUGUUGUCAAAUUAUGUGUGACUCUGAAAUGAAAAGUGACACGAAGUGAUUCUAUGGGCCCGAAAUCACUUGAUAAAAUGAGAUUUAGUAGGGCAUUUUUGUUUGUUUCUUUCUUGUCAUUUGUGUUUCCAUUAAAAGUCCCAUUUGAAACAGGAGUCUUUUAAUAGAAUACUAAACUCAAAUUAGAAUAGUGGAUAUGUGCUAAUCUAAUUUUGUGAUAUAAUUAAAUGACAGAAAACAUUCUUAUAAUGUCAAAGGCAACAACUGCUUUCGCAGAUAUAUCUCCAUGAUAUACAGUGCGAUUAAAAAGUAUCUAUACUAAAUAUUUUAGUUUUUGAGUUUUUAAUUAACAUUUUUUUUUGCAUUUUUUUCCAGUAAAGAUUCUGUAUAGAAAAAUUCACAAAGGAAGAUAAAAUUACUUCACAAGCCACAUUGCAUAAGAUAUGAAGACUUCUGAUUUAUAGUGCAUCGUGUAUAAGUGUAAAAUAAAAUAAAAAUCGGAAAAAAUAAAAAUACA
ensembl:lncRNA